GACGAACGCUGGCGGCGUGCCUAAUACAUGCAAGUCGAACGCAUUUUCUUUCACCGUAGCUUGCUACACCGAAAGAAAAUGAGUGGCGAACGGGUGAGUAACACGUGUGUAACCUGCCCAUCAGCGGGGGAUAACACUUGGAAACAGGUGCUAAUACCGCAUAAUUCCAUUUACUGCAUGGUAGAUGGAUGAAAGGCGCUUUUGCGUCACUUAUGGAUGGACCCGCGGUGCAUUAGCUAGUUGGUGGGGUAACGGCCUACCAAGGCUGCGAUGCAUAGCCGACAUGAGAGGGUGAUCGGCCACACUGGGACUGAGACACGGCCCAGACUCCUACGGGAGGCAGCAGUAGGGAAUCUUCGGCAAUGGACGCAAGUCUGACCGAGCAACGCCGAGUGAGUGAAGAAGGUUGUCGGAUCGUAAAACUCUGUUGUUAGAAAAGAACAAGGAUGAGAGUGGAAAGUUCAUCCCUUGACGGUAUCUAACCAGAAAGCCACGGCUAACUACGUG
rnacentral:rRNA from 1 species